rnacentral:rRNA from 1 species
ACCAAGACCUUAAGCUCCAAGAGCAUGGCCCGCAUUGCGGCGUUCUUGCUGGUGGCGCUGCUCUCCUUAGACGUGCAUCUCGCGCAGUCCGCGUCGUGCCGAUCAUGCCCGCCGACAAAGCCUUCCCAGCCUCCACCGUGUAAGCACAAGUCUUCACCAUCGUCCAUACCCUGCCCUCCACCUUCACAAACUCCCAUGCCCUCACCAACACCCACACUCACCCCGGUGACUCCGACGCCGGCACCGACCCCGACUGUCUUCAUCCCUCCACCUACAAACACUCCGGCACCCACGCCCAUACCGACCUCUGUAACUCCAACAUCGGCACCGACCCCUAUGAUGCCUCCAAUACCAACCCCUAUAACUCCGAAGCCGGUACCAGCUCCUCUCUCUCCAACACCAACACCGGUGGCCCCAACACCUACACCCGUGAUGCCGCCA